CUCCCAUCUGAGAGAGCUGGAUCUGACUAAAAACGACCUGAAGGAUUCAGGAGUGAAGCAGCUGUGUGGUUUUGUGGAGAGUCCAGACUGCAAACUGGAGACUCUGGGAUUGGAGAACUGCAGUUUGUCAAAGAUCAGCUGUGAUUAUCUGGCCUCAGCUCUGAAGGACAACCCCUCCCAUCUGAAAGUGCUGAAUCUGAGAGGAAACAAGCUGAAGGAUUCAGACGUGAAGCAGCUGAUUGAUCUUCAGCAGAGUCCAGACUGCAGACUGGAGACUCUGAUAUGGAAGGAUUGAUCUCUGUCAGAGUGAGAGUGAACAUCCAGGAGUGUUGAGAGAGGAUCAGCUGGAUCCUGAUGAUCCAUUUGGAGUCUGGAUCUGGAUUU